rnacentral:rRNA from 1 species
UACGUAGGGUGCAAGCGUUGUCCGGAAUUAUUGGGCGUAAAGAGCUCGUAGGCGGUCUGUCGCGUCGGCUGUGAAAUCCCGAGGCUCAACCUCGGGUCUGCAGUCGAUACGGGCAAACUGGAGUACUGCAGGGGAGACUGGAAUUCCUGGUGUAGCGGUGAAAUGCGCAGAUAUCAGGAGGAACACCGAUGCGAAGGCAGAUCUCUGGGCCGUAACUGACGCUGAGGAGCGAAAGCAUGGGGGAGCGAACAGG